AGAGUUUGAUCCUGGCUCAGGACGAACGCUGGCGGCGUGCCUAAUACAUGCAAGUCGAGCGAGCUUGCCUAGAUGAUUUUGGUGCUUGCACUAAAUGAAACUAGAUACAAGCGAGCGGCGGACGGGUGAGUAACACGUGGGUAACCUGCCCAAGAGACUGGGAUAACACCUGGAAACAGAUGCUAAUACCGGAUAACAACACUAGACGCAUGUCUAGAGUUUGAAAGAUGGUUCUGCUAUCACUCUUGGAUGGACCUGCGGUGCAUUAGCUAGUUGGUAAGGUAACGGCUUACCAAGGCAAUGAUGCAUAGCCGAGUUGAGAGACUGAUCGGCCACAUUGGGACUGAGACACGGCCCAAACUCCUACGGGAGGCAGCAGUAGGGAAUCUUCCACAAUGGACGCAAGUCUGAUGGAGCAACGCCGCGUGAGUGAAGAAGGUUUUCGGAUCGUAAAGCUCUGUUGUUGGUGAAGAAGGAUAGAGGUAGUAACUGGCCUUUAUUUGACGGUAAUCAACCAGAAAGUCACGGCUAACUACGUGCCAGCAGCCGCGGUAAUACGUAGGUGGCAAGCGUUGUCCGGAUUUAUUGGGCGUAAAGCGAGCGCAGGCGGAAAAAUAAGUCUAAUGUGAAAGCCCUCGGCUUAACCGAGGAACUGCAUCGGAAACUGUUUUUCUUGAGUGCAGAAGAGGAGAGUGGAACUCCAUGUGUAGCGGUGGAAUGCGUAGAUAUAUGGAAGAACACCAGUGGCGAAGGCGGCUCUCUGGUCUGCAACUGACGCUGAGGCUCGAAAGCAUGGGUAGCGAACAGGAUUAGAUACCCUGGUAGUUCAUGCCGUAAACGAUGAGUGCUAAGUGUUGGGAGGUUUCCGCCUCUCAGUGCUGCAGCUAACGCAUUAAGCACUCCGCCUGGGGAGUACGACCGCAAGGUUGAAACUCAAAGGAAUUGACGGGGGCCCGCACAAGCGGUGGAGCAUGUGGUUUAAUUCGAUGAUACGCGAGGAACCUUACCCGGGCUUAAAUUGCAGUGGAAUGAUGUGGAAACAUGUCAGUGAGCAAUCACCGCUGUGAAGGUGCUGCAUGGUUGUCGUCAGCUCGUGUCGUGAGAUGUUGGGUUAAGUCCCGCAACGAGCGCAACCCUUAUCCUUAGUAGCCAGCAGUAAGAUGGGCACUCUAGGGAGACUGCCAGGGAUAACCUGGAGGAAGGUGGGGAUGACGUCAAAUCAUCAUGCCCCUUAUGAUUUGGGCUACACACGUGCUACAAUGGCGUAAACAAAGGGAAGCGAAGCCGCGAGGUGAAGCAAAUCCCAAAAAUAACGUCCCAGUUCGGAUUGUAGGCUGCAACUCGCCUGCAUGAAGCUGGAAUCGCUAGUAAUCGCGAAUCAGAAUGUCGCGGUGAAUACGUUCCCGGGUCUUGCACUCACCGCCCGU
rnacentral:rRNA from 1 species